AAAAGGUGCUCAGUACCUAUAAAGGUUAAAUUAAUCACUAAAAGGUCAAGCAACUUACAAAAGUCAAGCUUAACAAAAGAGGUGUGAAGUACUCAGAGGAUUUAAUUUAACCAGAGAAGGUGAGAACAAAAGAAGAUGAGAACUAAGAAUGGGCAGUCCUGGGGAAAGUGUCUACUGUGACUGGUAGACAUGAAAAUUUAGGGGAGGUGACAUAAGAGAAAAUUUCUUUAAAAGGAGAAGGCAGUUCAGGUAAUUGAGGAGUUCGAAACUGAGUUAGUUGGAGUUGGAGUUCAGAGGGUUGGAGCUUGCUUGAAGAUGAUCUUGUGAUGCAGUUCAGUAUCAUGGCUAUAGUUCUGGACUUGUAGUCAAGGAGGUUUGGACUGAAACCUGUCUCUGACACUUAUAAGGACUUAGAACUGUGCCUGAUACCUAGCAAGCAACUAGCCAGUGUUUGUGGAUGGAUUGAUCUUCCCAGUUUAGAUUUUCCCUCCAUCUAUGAAGAUCUUCGCUCUUCCGCUCUUCACACAGUAGGAACAUAAUAAAUACAUGAACUGAAUCCUCUAUAGCUUUUGCCAUAUAAUUUAGUAUUAGUCACUCUUUUGUUUUCUUCUCCAUUGCUCUAGUUGUCCUUGUCUCUCCAGGUAG
rnacentral:lncRNA from 1 species